rnacentral:lncRNA from 1 species
GCCUCGAUAACUCUGUCCAUUUCCAUGGUAGCACUCCUACAUUGAAGGCCUUGGAUCAAUCAGUGCUGAAUUAAAACAGAAAAAUUCAAGAUGGACAUGAGAAAACAAACAAACACAAAAGCAACAGAUUCCUACCAUUCUGGAAAUGUAAUUCACAGGCUCGAGAGCCCCAUUUCUUGGAAUCUACAAUGCUGAAGAUUGCAUUGAAUGCUGUCUAUUAGAGGAAAUCCUUGGAGAAGUUACUGGCUUGGAAAUAGUCACACAUCUGACAGCAUGUUACAAUAGGAAUUUUGGAUUGGACACUGAGAUAGCCCGUUUUACAACAAGGACUUCAUAUAGUAUUGUGCAAGGUGGAACUAACAUAGGGUUCCUCAACGAAAUAAUGGCAUCCAGGAUGAUAUCAAUCCCAGGCCAGCCUUCUAACUCUAUGUACUCAAAAUGUAGUGAAAAGCCUCUAUGUUACCCAUGGAAAACCAUCGUGCAAAUAGUAUUGCUGUCUCUCGAUGCCGUAUCAGAUGAACAUGAGAAAACAAACAAACACCAAAAGAACAGAUUCCUACCAUUCUAGAAAUGCAGACUUCAUACAGUACUGCGAAAGGUGGAACUAACAUAGAGUUCCUCAAUGAAAUAAUGGCAUCCAGGAUGAUAUCAAUCCCAGGCCAGCCUUCUAACUCUAUGUACUCAAAAUGUAGUGAAAAGCCUCUAUGUUACCCAUGGAAAACCAUCGUGCAAACAGUAUUGCUGUCUCUCGAUGCUGUAUCAGUCCACAGACAGCAAGGGCAGUACCACUGCAGUGGCAGUGGCAGAUGGGCUUUCAGUCGCCUCUGGGAGCUCCAUCCCACAGAAACACAGAGA